GCAUUGAUGGUGUAAUGGUAACAUCUAAGCUUCCCAUUCGAUGAGUUCUGCUUAGGCCCCGGGUUCGAUUCCCGGUCAAUGCA